rnacentral:misc_RNA from 1 species
GAUGAAGAACGCAGCGAAAUGCGAUACGUAAUGUGAAUUGCAAAUUCAGUGAAUCAUCGAGUCUUUGAACGCACAUUGCGCCCCCUGGUAUUCCGGGGGGCAUGCCUGUCCGAGCGUCAUUGCUGCCCUCAAGCACGGCUUGUGUGUUGGGCCCCGUCCUCCGAUCCCGGGGGACGGGCCCGAAAGGCAGCGGCGGCACCGCGUCCGGUCCUCGAGCGUAUGGGGCUUUGUCACCCGCUCUGUAGGCCCGGCCGGCGCUUGCCGAUCAACCCAAAUUUUUAUCCAGGUUGACCUCGGAUCAGGUAGGGAUACCCGCUGAACUUAAGCAUAUCAAUCAGCGGAGGA